GCUGGGCACAGUGGCAGGUGCCUGUAGUCCCAGCUACUCGGGAGGCUGAGAUGGGAGGGUCGCUUGAGCCCAGGAGUUCUGGGCUGUAGUGUGCUAUGCCUAUCAGGUGUCUGCACUUAGUUUGGCAUCAAUAUGGUGAUCUCCCAGGAGUGGAGGACCACCAGGUUGCCAAAGGAGGGGUGAACCAGCCCAGGUCAAAAACGGAGCAGGUCAAAACUCCCGUACUGAUCAGUAGUAGGAUUGCUCUUGUGAAUAGCCACUGCACUCCAGCCUAGGCAACACAGCAAUACCCCAUUUCUA
ensembl:misc_RNA Metazoa_SRP Metazoan signal recognition particle RNA